UUAAGUUCAGCGGGUAUCCCUACCUGAUCCGAGGUCAAGAGCAAAAAAAUGUACUUGAUGGAUGCCGACAUCCAUGGCAAGAAGCGCAAAAUGUGCUGCGCUCUAUAACCAGAUUGCCGGCUGCCAAUUGCUUUAAGGCGAGUCCACGCGCAAAGCGGGACAAACACCCAACACCAAGCAGAGCUUGAGGGUACAAAUGA
rnacentral:misc_RNA from 1 species